AGGACUGGGGCCCCGCAACUGGCCUCUCGUGCCUUCUUAAGCGCAGCGCCAUUUUAGCAACGCGGAAGCCCGGCGCCGGGAAGCCUCAGCUCGCCUGAAGGUGGUAAACUAUACCUACUGUCCCUCAAGAGAACACAAAAAGUGCUUUAAGAGGCGGCGGAAGGUGAUCGAAUUCCGGUGAUGCGAGUUGUUCUCCGUCUAUAAAUACGCCUCGCCCGAGCUGUGCGGCAGGCAGUGAGGCAGCCAGCGCAGGGGCUUCUGCUGAGGGCGCAGGCGGAGCUUGAGGAAACCGCAGAUAAGUUUUUUUCACUUUGAAAGAUAGAGAUUAAUACAACUACUUAAAAAAUAUAGUCAAUAGGUUACUAAGAUAUUGCUUAGCGUUAAGCUUUUAACGUAAUUUUAAUAGCUUAAGAUUUUAAGAGAAAAUAUGAAGACUUAGAAGAGUAGCAUGACGAAGGAAAAGAUAAAAGAUUUCUAAAACAUGACGGAGGUUGAGAUGAAGCUUCUUCAUGGAGUAAAAAAUGUAUUUAAAAGAAAAUUGAGAGAAAGGACUACAGAGCCCUGAAUUAAUACCAAUAGAAGGGCAAUGCUUUUAGAUUAAAAUGAAGGUGACUUAAACAGCUUAAAGUUUACUUUAAAAGUUGUAGGUGAUUAAAAUAAUUUGAAGGCGAUCUUUUAAAAAGAGAUUAAACCGAAGGUGAUUAAAAGACCUUGAAAUCCAUGACGCAGGGAGAAUUGCGUCAUUUAAAGCCUAGUUAACGCAUUUAAACGCAGACGAAAAUGGAAAGAUU
rnacentral:lncRNA from 1 species